GGUCUUGUGGUCUAGUGGUAUGAUUCUCGCUUAGGGUAAACCCAAGCACAGCUUGCGAGAGGCCCCGCGUUCGAGUCGCGGCAAGACCC